rnacentral:rRNA from 1 species
GACGAACGCUGGCGGCGUGCUUAACACAUGCAAGUCGAACGGAAAGGCCCUGCUUUUGUGGGGUGCUCGAGUGGCGAACGGGUGAGUAACACGUGAGUAACCUGCCCUUGACUUUGGGAUAACUUCAGGAAACUGGGGCUAAUACCGGAUAGGAGCUCCUGCUGCAUGGUGGGGGUUGGAAAGUUUCGGCGGUUGGGGAUGGACUCGCGGCUUAUCAGCUUGUUGGUGGGGUAGUGGCUUACCAAGGCUUUGACGGGUAGCCGGCCUGAGAGGGUGACCGGCCACAUUGGGACUGAGAUACGGCACAGCCUCCUCCGGGAGGCAGCAGUGGGGAAUAUUGCACAAUGGGCGGAAGCCUGAUGCAGCAACGCCGCGUGCGGGAUGACGGCCUUCGGGUUGUAAACCGCUUUCGCCUGUGACGAAGCGUGAGUGACGGUAAUGGGUAAAGAAGCACCGGCUAACUACGUG